UACAGAGGUCUCAAGCGUUGUUCGGAUUCAUUGGGCGUAAAGGGUGCGUAGGUGGCGCUGUAAGUCGGGUGUGAAAUUUCGGAGCUUAACUCCGAAACUGCAUUCGAUACUGCGGUGCUUGAGGACUGGAGAGGAGACUGGAAUUCAUGGUGUAGCAGUGAAAUGCGUAGAGAUCAUGAGGAAGACCAGUGGCGAAGGCAGCCCCCUGGGAUAACACUGACGCUCAUGCACGAAAGCGUGGGGAGCAAACAGG
rnacentral:rRNA from 1 species